CAGCUCACUCAGCACACAGCAAACAGAGCGAGCCGUGGAUACCAAGAGCGCACACUCAGAAGCCACCCAGGACGUCAACAUCAGGACACAUCACUGCUACACCGCUUACCCGACUCCUGCAGAUUUCGUGACUCGUCCUCGGAGAAAAGGACUGCUUGCCGUCAGUACACAAUAAGAUCCCGGACACCGCUGUCACCACCAACACGGCCAGGAGACGUAAGGACUGCCACAUCCAAGGAUCCAGCUUAGAGAAAACCUUGGCACCCUGCAGGUGAUCAAAGUGCACAGAAAUCAAAGCCUCAAGAUUUAAUCAAAGGAUCGGCUGAGAUGUUCCAAGAGCUGUCGGAACGCUUACACCAGUUGUCCAUCGAGGCCAACGACGCCUGCCUGAAGGUGCCUCUGCCCGAAGAUGACAGAGUAGGCCGCAACCCCAGCAGAAGGCUUUCAUUAGCAGCAGGGGUACCAUUUGGCCUCAAUUGAUGUGGAGAGCCUGUACACCCGCAUCCCACAUGAUGGAGGUGUGCAGGCGACCCGAGAGGUUUUG